GUAUUCCUACGGGGGGCAGCAGUGGGGAAUAUUGGGCAAUGGGCGCAAGCCUGACCCAGCAACGCCGCGUGAAGGAAGAAGGCCUUCGGGUUGUAAACUUCUUUUGUCAGGGACGAAGAAAGUGACGGUACCUGACGAAUAAGCCACGGCUAACUACGUGCCAGCAGCCGCGGUAAUACGUAGGUGGCAAGCGUUAUCCGGAUUUACUGGGUGUAAAGGGCGUGUAGGCGGGAGAGCAAGUCAGACGUGAAAUUCCAGGGCUCAACCCUGGAACUGCGUUUGAAACUGUUCUUCUUGAGUGAUGG
rnacentral:rRNA from 1 species